CGGCGUAGCUCAAUGGUGGAGCAAUCGGCUGUUAACCGAUCGGUUACUGGUUCGAGUCCAGUCGCCGGAG
rnacentral:tRNA from 1 species